rnacentral:lncRNA from 1 species
CGCCUCCCCCCCCCCCCCCCAGCCGCCAGCCUUCAGCCCUGAAAAGGAGGUCUCUACCCCGGGUUUCUGCUGCUGGUGGAACCGGGCGGGGGACAAGGCGGGUUCACCCAGGAUGCGAACGGGGCGGUCCUCUAGGAAGGCUUGGCCGGCUUACAAGACUAGAGUCAAUCAGUGGGGAUGUCGGGCAGACCAGGGGUGAUGACCAGAGCCCACGAAAUGGGGGUCUUCAGGAGUGCGAGGCGCGCAGAAAGGCAUGGGAGGGCCUCGGAACCGCGGCCCUGGCGCGGGUGUGCAGAAGCUUAGAUCCGCCCACCCAAGAGCUCCUAAUGGCCCGGUACAGGGAGGCGAGGAUAGCAAUGGGGGCGGGGGCGGGGGGAGGGUUCUUCUCGGUGUUUCGAGUAACAUCAAGCCGGGAGGCAGAGCUGUUCAAGGUGAAUCCUAGAUGGCUCCUAGGCCCUUUCCCCUGGGAGAGGAAAGAAAGAAGUUUCUCCUCAAGCCAUGGUUUGCAGGAAGAACUCAGGCGUGGGAAGAGGGCAGAGGGGGACAGGACCCAAAAUGAAGACUCAGAAACUGAAAAUACAGCAGAGAGUAGGGCAGAGCAUAAACAUUUGGUCCAAAUGGUUGGAGACACUGUUGAUAACAGAGGAAACCUGGGAAUUGAUGCACGUCUAUAUGCUGUUGCCUCUCCUUUUUCCUGCACUUCUAAGGGCUCAUUUGCUCAGUUGAGAUCAUCCAGGUAUGGAUAAGGAGAGACGGCUCUUGUUACGAGUUGAAUUAUAUCCCCCAAAGAAGCCAGCACCCAGGCAAGGAGUCCAUGUCAUAAAAUGACCUACACCUCUGGAGACAGAUCUGCUUUGGUGGGAGGCCCUACUGUUCCUCAGCGUUUUAACCUUGGGGAAAUUACUGAGUCUGUCUUCUGUUUCAAUUCCUUAUCUGAAAUAUGGGGAUGAUGGUAAUAAAGAGGUUGUUGCGAGCA